UAGGACGGCAAAGAAUCAAAAAAAAAAGUCUCUCUCUCCUUUUCCUCUGUUCUCUCUCUACGAUCUUUUACAGAGGAGAAGUUGUAGAAAAGAAACCCAUCUCAAUGCCACGAUGAUUUGAAGAUCUCUUUCUUUUUCCUCUUUUCCUCUUUAAAAUCUUUCACAGGGGAAAUAGGAUGAGAUGAAUCUUCUUGUCCUCGCCGGUGGUGUUCUGAAUUUUGACUCCGGCGUCGCAUAUGUCCCUCCGAUGGUCGUCCGGCCUCUGCCUUCGGUGUUCUCCCUUUCUGUUGGUGAUGAGCAUCCGGCUUCCGACUCCGCAUCACAUCUUUCAAUCGUGAGUCCUCGAGCUGUGUCACGUUUCGUUGUAGUGUAUGGUGGCCUGAGUUUGGAUGAAAUCACGAUUUCAUUUGAUUGAUAUUCUUCGAAGCUCAGGCGGUUAAGUGGUGGAUCAUGAAUCUCCUAUACCUCUAAUACAGUUGUUGGAGGUGGUUUUCAGUGGUCGUGGUUAAUUCCGGUAUUUUUCUGGUGGUCAAGUGAUUUGAAUGGUCCGGUGACGAUUUUAUAUCGUUAACUUCCGGUGAAGGCUCGUGAUUCCGAUGUGAUUCCGGUGGAAGUCCCGGCGGCAGUUUCGGUGAAGUUGGUGGCGUGUCCAGUCCACGCGUCUCUUUUUCUGUGUGUUUCGUUGAAAAUGGACCCCUUUCAUUCUUUUUUUGGGUUUGUAUAUGUUGUUUGGGCCCAGUCUUUCGGGCUUUUAUGUAUCAUAUGUGUCUUUGUUGGUUUUUUUUUAAGUCUUUAAUAAAAUGAGAAAAAAAUAGAUAGCGGAAAAAAAAAAAAAAAAGGACGGCAAAGAAUCAAUAUUAUACUGGCGCGCAUGAGGAUACCAUGCGGGAACUCUUAACAAGUUUUCAGUCGCGCGUUUUAUAUUUGUAUAAACAUUAUGUUAAUAAAUAAAGCUACAUAGGUG
rnacentral:lncRNA from 1 species